rnacentral:rRNA from 1 species
GACGAACGCUGGCGGCGUGCCUAAUACAUGCAAGUAGAACGCACAGUUUAUACCGUAGCUUGCUACACCAUAGACUGUGAGUUGCGAACGGGUGAGUAACGCGUAGGUAACCUGCCUGGUAGCGGGGGAUAGCUAUUGGAAACGAUAGCUAAUACCGCAUAAUAUUAAUUAUUGCAUGAUAAUUAAUUGAAAGGUGCAAUUGCACCCCUAGCAGAUGGACCUGCGUUGUAUUAGCUAGUAGGGGAGGUAACGGCUCACCUAGGCGACGAUACAUAGCCGACCUGGGGGGGAGAACGGGCAAAAUGGGAAUGGGGAACGGGCCAAACUCCUUCGGGGAGCAGCAGGAGGGGAACUUCGGAAAUGGAGGAAAGGCUGAACGAAGAACGCCGGGGGGGGGAAGAAGGGUCUCGGAUCGGAAAAGUCGGUUUUAAGGGAAGAACGGGGGUGGGAGUGGAAAGGUCACACUGUGACGGUAGCUGAACAGAAAGGGACGGCUAACUACGUG